rnacentral:misc_RNA from 1 species
UCAACUGAAAGAACAUCAGUCAUUUCUUUGAUUGGGACAAGCAUUAUUUUCUGGGCAUAUAUAUUGCGGAGACCUUUACAAGCCUCUCUCACAUGGGCUUCCUUGUCAGCUUCAAUAUAAAUAUAGUUUUUGAGAUGAUCAAGAGCAAUAGCAGACCUGAUUUGCAACUCAGAUCCUUUAUCAAUACACUUUUGCAUUAGACAAACAGCUGUUUCUCUUUCACGACCAAUCGCACAUUUCACCAUCCAUAACUUUGGAUCCCGAACAGAUGGCAGAAGAGCUUGUUGCUCAACAUCUGUAGUCUCUUCAUCAUAUUCUGUGUGACUUGACCUGGCAUACCUCGCUUGAAUGCUUCUCUCAAGAGCUUCAACAUCUUCUUGGUCAUCUUCCCGAGGGAGCAACGGCCUACGAUGAACCCUCCUACUAUCAUCUUCCUCAGGUAGCUCAGCUCCAUUAUCAACUAUAAAAUCGUCCUCAGCAUCCUCUUCCUCUUCCUCUUCUUCAUCGCUAUCGACCGCAGCUUCGAGAUCAAAAAACUGAGUCCCCGACCUCCUCUUUGCCUUCUGCCUCCGGCCACCUCCACUGCCAUACUCAUCAUCCCCAUCGUCAUCAUCUUCCUCUUCAUCGUCCUCCUCAGCAACGUCGUCUAUAAAAUCUGAUCUCCGCCUCUUCCUACUGGAGCCUCCCCUAUCUUCUUCCUCUUCCUCUUCUUCUUCGUCGUCCAUCACCUGCUGCUCCUGGUCAUCGUAUUCCUCAUCAUCUGCAUCGAGCUCCUCGUCGUCUUCGUCCCUACGACGAGGCAUAGCUUCGUUUCGGGGAUCAAAAUUCCACUCUCUCAAUAUCGCUCUAUAAAGCGUUGGGGUGUAUCUUGGAGAUGUACGAAUUUGUAGACAGGGUCC